CCGUGUGUCCCGCCAUCCACAGGGACCUGAAGAGCAGCAUUGACAGAGAGCAGAUCCUCGGGAAAUUUAUGCUUGUGAGGGCUGGUAACUCCUCAGCCAGCACUCUGCCCGUCUCCUUGGAACCUUUGCUCAUGACCAUCCGAGAUGAGGGCUACACACUGGGCAAGGAGAUCUGCAUCUGGGGCCUUCAGCUGACGAACCCGGAGAUCGCCAGACUCGCUUUGUUUCUGGAGCAGAAGGGGCACACCACUUGCCCAGUGACUACAUUGGAAAUCAUUGAUUGCAAGAUGGAUCUGUGGUCUCUGGGGCGACUUGGGAAAGCUCUGCAGUUCAGCAGUUUGCACUUCCUGGUCCUCGACUACUGCAAGUUUGGAAAUGAAGAACUUGAGAGUAUCUUCUCAGGCCUGGAGAGCAACCGAAGGCUCCAGGGCCUCAGUAUGCGCUACUGUGGGCUGGGGCCCCAGAGUGGGCCAAGGCUGGGCUCUGUUAUCAGCCACAGCGGCAUUUGGUGAGCUACACC
ensembl:lincRNA